ACUGACUCCCACAAGCUGUCUCCUGACUUACACACACGGGUAAGUGAAUAAUAAUAAUUUCAAGAAAGAAAUUAGAAGACGCCAUCUGUGCACAGCCCAGUCCUCCAUGUGAUCACCACCAUGUGAAGGACAGGACGCCUGAGCUGGAGGCGGAGUGCUGAGGGCUUAGAUCACACACCCAGGAGGAGCUGCCACUUUGAUGAACAUGAAGCAGGGAACGCCCUGACUGCCUCCUCUACAGUGUGCAUCCCUGAGUAGUUCUGCUUGGAGAAGCAGGUGGGGAGACAUGUGAGCACUCCGAACUGGGAAGGCAGACUGCGUGUGCCACCGUCACCACAGACAUCUGCUGAAAUCCAUUUCGCCACGCGUGUACCUUCGGGGGACAGGCAGAGCCCCAGCUCGCUGCCUCCAGCCCGCCUUCAGAAAAGUGUGUCUCAAGAGAUCUGGGCUGACCACAGGCAGGUGUGCCUGCGAUCCUGGGACCAGAUCCAGAGAUGUCUCGUGGGUGCAAAGCUGUCCUUGGUCCCCAGAUGCAACAUCCUGAGAGGAUGGAGGAGUUCUUGAGAUCCUGAUGGGGCAUGCACAGGAGUAUGACUGGCCAGUGAAGCUUGCCCUCCACCCCAGCCUGGCAGAAGGUGGCAUCCAGACAGGGCGGCACUAAGCCACUGGGAAGGAGGGACACAGUGAGUCACCAGAGUGGAAUGCACAGCCCUUGGGUGAGGCCCGGAAGGCUAGUCCCCCCUGGGUGCCAAGGCCAAGCGGGCCGGAAGGGCAGCGGACAUCCUGAAGAAUGUGGAGGAGUUUCCACAAAUUGUCGUCCACGUGGGAACCCAUGGCCAGGGGGAAACAGACACCUCAGGAUGCCGGGGCACUGAAGCCAUCUGGGCAGGCAGCCCUAUAGGGGCCAGCAUGAUCUCCUUGAGGGACACUGAGGCCACAGAGGCCAGAGGUCAUGAGGGCAAGGAACUAUAGCUCUUGGGGAUCCCCACACAACUCAUCCUGUGGCUUCAUGGACUUGAAGAUUUGUCCAGUGCUAUGUGCCCUGAUGAAACCCGUGAUGCCCGACUGUGGCCUUGUCCUGACUUUCCCAGAUACUGAGGGACUCUGCAAGCCUCAUAGCCAUCUCUGCUUUUGCACUGGGCACAAGGUGCUGGAAUUGGGGUAGCCAAACAGGGAGAACACAGCUCCGUGGGGACCAGGUCACUGCUGCCCUGGUGCUGAUCCCUGCUAUCUGUCUCGACCACAAGCUGCCUGAGCGUUCUUGUCCCCUCCGUCCCCAAGAGUCCACCUGGUCACAGAAAUGAAGAGGGGAAGGCUCAGCAUAUUGUCUACAGGACGAGGGCCAGAGGAAAGAAAAGCAGGGAAGCCCAUGUUCUAGGAAAGGGUUCCGACCUCAGAUAGAAGGACUGAUGAACAUCCCUAGCCACACAGCCAUGUAGAGUUGGGGGUUUGGAGAUGUGGAAGGGACUGGGUAGAGGUGGCUGCAGUGCCUAUAGCAACCUGGUCUCUCAGGGCUUUGAACUGGAGAGAUCGCUGUGGACCUGCAAGGCUCAGCCAGAUCUGCUGAGCUCAGCCAAGCCCCCUGGGGUAUAAGGAAGUCCUCAUUGAUAAUCAGUCCCCACAGGAUCUGGGAACACAGACCCCCGGCUGCAGUAGCAGCUGCUCCAACUGGUGGCCUCUCCCAGUGACCCCAUCACCACUAUCCAAUGUGCAUUGUGCUUCUCACUGCCUGAGGAACAACUGCCAGCCAUGGUAGCUGAGAAACUCAGGCUCCAAGGGAGGUGAACACCUUGCCUCAGGGCGAGGUUCUCCUUGGGACAGCCCCAUUCCUUGGGGCGGUGACGACAAAUGACACAACGUGCCACCUCUCUGAGCCCUAUGGUUCAGAUCCACAGCCAGGCUGAACACACCCCAGGGCUGGAGAAGAAGAUGUCUCACAGCCAUAGGCGGCAGACCGUGCCCCACGCCCACACCAGUCCUAAAGAGCCCGCGGAAAUGCACCCCCGAGAGCCCCUCUAUGAAUACGCCACAAGCAUUCCACUGUCCCAGUACGUAUAGGUCUGCGCCCAGGACAAGAAUGCCACCAGUCCCGCUCCUCGCAGGGUAACCAAGGCUGAUUCCAGACUGAAGGAGCUUCAGGAGAGUGUGAGGGGGCGCUGCUACCAGCUGCCCAUCGCCAGGGACAGCAUCCACUUCCUGGUCUCUGGGAUGUUCUGGCCAGCUGUGAGGCUGCAUUAUUGCAGGUCCCCUGUGAGGGUAACCUGUUCCCCAUGGCAAGAAUAAAGGACCCACGGAGGCCGAGAAGGCACCAAGACUUCUUGAGUACUGGUACUUACAAAUCAUCAUGCCAGCCUACAGAAGGUGCCCGUAUUAGCCUCUUACUGCUUUGACCAAAUAUCUGAGAAGAACAACCGAAGGAGACAAAGAUUCGUUUUAGCUCAGUUUGAGGGUGCAGCCCAUCAUGUCAGGGAAGCCAGGACAGCCAGAGUGCGGGCCAAAUGGUCAUCGCAUCUGCAGUCAGGAAGCAGAGAUGCAUGCUGGUCACCAGCCUCGUUUUCUCUUUUGUGCUCGGUGCAUGACCUCAGUCAAAGGAAUGCUGCCACACACACUUAGGAUGAGUCCUUCCCAUAGCAGCUAACCUAGUCUAGAAACUCCCGUAGACAUAUAUGCCCAGGGCCUUGUCUCCUACUAGAUCCUGAGAAGUUGACAGUGUUAGUCAUCACAGUGCCCAAGGUCUCCUUGCUCUACUGCUGGGGCCUGCGAUGCCUCUGUGGACAGGCAGGCCACCUCCUCCAUUCUGGCAGCAUCUUCCAGAGCCUUGUCCCCUGGGGCUGUUCUGACCCUCUUGGCUCAUAGUCUCUGCUGAUCAAAUCUACCCCCGGCCACCAUGUCUGUCUUUCUCUGUCCAUAUAGACCUGCAGGACGAUCGAUCGGUGUGGAUGUGGAGUGGAGACCUUCAUUCGCUGUGCUGGGCCAGCCUCAUGAAUCCUUUCUGAGGAAAGCCAUGGGUUCUGUCGGAUGUGUUUUCACUCGUGUGUGUGUGUGUGUGUGUUUAUUUGUUUGUUGGUUGGUUGGUUGGUUGGUUUUUUGAGACAGGACUUUUAUGUGUAGCCCUAGCUAUCCUGAAACUCAGAGAUCCGCCUGCCUCUGGCUCCCUAGUGCUGGGAUCAAGGGCAUGGGCCACCACCGCCAGCAAGUUCCUUCAUUCUUGUAGCCACCAGGAGAGCGAGGCACAGGCCUUCUCCAGGAUCGUAUGCCAACUUCUCUCAGACUACCCUGUCACCAAACUAGGUGAGCACAGUCCCCCAGGCCCCUGCCCAGUCCACAAAAAAAGGGUUGCCACACCUCUGCUCCAGCUCCUUCCCCUGCAUGUGCCCUUAGGAAGCACUGGGCAGACUCUAGGGUCAGAAGCACAAAACCCAUCUCUGCUUGGGUUUCCCACACAGACAGUCCCCACCCCACAGGCUACGGGAUGGUGGGAGAUCUGAGGAGACUGGGCAGUGUCUCCACUGCUGUGUCUGGGGUGGAGAGGCAGAUUGGGCCAGUGUGGAACCUCUGCUGGUGCAUAGGCAGGAAAGCAUCCAGGUUUUCCUGACCCCGAGGCCCUCUCCUUCCUGCCAAGCCUCCCAACCAGCACUGCUCAAGUGGAGACUUCCACCAAGCUAGCCUGUGGGCUCUGGGAGAUGGUCUGUUUGGCCUUUCUUCCUCUACUGGAUUGCCAUCAAGUUGGCCAUGGGUCACCAGGGCCCCAGAGGUUACUCAGCACAGCAGAAUCCACAGAAUUUAAGGGAGGUGUUGCUGCUGCCUGGCAUAGCACCCCAACUCCUCCGGACGUAAGGCCCCAUCUUGACAGUGUGCUCUGAGCAGACACUCUAGUAGGCCAAGUAUUUUCUCUGAAGGGCCUAGGUGGCAGGUAGCUGCAGCCCUGUGGCUAACACACAGCCAUCCUCAGUGACCUCCAUACUACCUUCUGCAUUGACUGUUGGUGGAGGGGACAGGGUCCUUACUGGCACAGGAGUAGCAUGACACAGGAUAGUGUGGCAGGCCAUCAACCCCAGGGCCAGCACCUCACCCCAACAGAGUUGCUUUGACAGAUCCAGGGUGAUGGGGGGAACAUGAUGGCCUGCUCUGUGGAUGGGGCUGGGGAGCCAGGAGGCCUGAGCCUCCUAGUCCAUCAAGUACUGGGCAAACCCUUGGACAAGGUACAACAGCUCUCCAACUGGGAUUCGUGACCACUUCAUGAGGAGCAGCUUGUCUAUACGGGUGCACAGAGAGGUGGAGCAGGGUUGGCUAUGGCCUCCCUUUCCCCCUCCACCUCCUCACCCUCUGCUCUGCCUAAUUUUAUGUCAGCUUGACACAGGCUAGAGUCAUCUGAGAGGAGGGAGCCCCAGCUGAGAAAAUGCCUCCGUAAGAUUGGCUGUAGGCAAAUCUGUAAGGCAUUUUCUCAAUUAGUGAUUGGUGAAGGAGGGCCCAGCCCAUUGUGGGUGGGGCCAUCCCUGGGUUGGUGGUCCUGGGUUCUAUAAGAAAGCAGACUGAGCCAGGUGGUGGUGGCGGCACACGCCCUUAAUCCCAGCACUCUGGGAGGCAGAGACAGGCAGAUCUCUGUGAGUUCGAGGCCAGCCUGGUCUACAAGUGAGUUCCAGGACAGCUAGGGCUGUUAUACAGAGAAACCUUGUCAAGAAACCGCUCCCCACCCAAAAA